GAAGAGGAAAGGCCAAGAGAAGUUGAAAAGAGGAAAAUCUAGUAAAUCUGGUUCUCAUCACAGUGGCGAAAAGGGUAAUUUGCUGGAUCAGAUGAACAAUGCAACCUCACAAGGCACAUUGAAAUAUGUAAAAGUUGAUACUCCAAAUUUGAGUGCAAGCACCAGUGUGUGGGAUGAUUGGAGUAAAAGAGUUGAGAGUGUGCGUGAAUUAAGAUUUUCUUUGGAUGGCAAUAUUGUGAAGAGUGAAUUUGAUGUCUCAAAGAGUGGUAAUACAUCAUCUUAUGCUGAGCAAAAUCUUUCCGAGCGUGACUAUCUGCGAACUGAAGGUGAUCCUGGCGCGGCUGGUUACACCAUCAAAGAAGCAGUUGCUCUUGCAAGAAGUUUGGUACCUGGACAACGGACGUUUGCGUUCCAUCUUAUUGCAUCUGUGCUGGAUAGAGCAAUGCACAAUAUUCAGCAGAAUCAGCUGGGGUGUCUCUUAAGAUCUGAGGACAGAGAUGGACUUACU
rnacentral:misc_RNA from 1 species